rnacentral:rRNA from 1 species
GAGUUUGAUUAUGGCUCAGGACGAACGCUGGCGGCGUGCUUAACACAUGCAAGUCGAACGUGAUUUUUGUGGAAGUUCCUUCGGGAAUGGAAGCGAAAUGAAAGUGGCGAACGGGUGAGUAACACGUGAGCAACCUACCUUACACAGGGGGAUAGCCGUUGGAAACGACGAUUAAUACCGCAUGAGACCACAGAAUCGCAUGAUAUAGGGGUCAAAGAUUUAUCGGUGUAAGAAGGGCUCGCGUCUGAUUAGCUAGUUGGAAGGGUAAAGGCCUACCAAGGCGACGAUCAGUAGCCGGUCUGAGAGGAUGAACGGCCACAUUGGAACUGAGACACGGUCCAAACUCCUACGGGAGGCAGCAGUGGGGAAUAUUGCACAAUGGGGGGAACCCUGAUGCAGCGACGCCGCGUGAGCGAAGAAGGUUUUCGAAUCGUAAAGCUCUGUCCUAUGAGAAGAUAAUGACGGUAUCAUAGG